CAGCCGCCGCGGUAAUACAGAGGGUGCGAGCGUUAAUCGGAUUUACUGGGCGUAAAGCGUGCGUAGGCGGCUUCUUAAGUCGGAUGUGAAAUCCCUGAGCUUAACUUAGGAAUUGCAUUCGAUACUGGGAAGCUAGAGUAUGGGAGAGGAUGGUAGAAUUCCAGGUGUAGCGGUGAAAUGCGUAGAUAUCUGGAGGAAUACCGAUGGCGAAGGCAGCCAUCUGGCCUAAUACUGACGCUGAGGUACGAAAGCAUGGGGAGCAAACAGGAUUAGAUACCCCUGUAGUCCCUGUCUCUUAUAC
rnacentral:rRNA from 1 species